rnacentral:rRNA from 1 species
UGAGUAACCUGCCCUUCACUCUGGGAUAACUCCGGGGAAACCGGGGCUAAUACUGGAUACGACCUACUCGGGCAUCCGAUGUGGGUGGAAAGACUUAUUGGUGAGGGAUGGACUCGCGGCCUAUCAGCUUGUUGGUGAGGUAAUGGCUCACCAAGGUGACGACGGGUAGCCGGCCUGAGAGGGCGAUCGGUCACACUGGGACUGAGACACGGCCCAGACUCCGUACGGGAGCA